rnacentral:rRNA from 1 species
GAAUUCGCCCUUAGAGUUUGAUUCUGGCUCAGGACGAACGCUGGCGGUGCGCCUAACACAUGCAAGUCGAACGAGCGAGAGAGAGCUUGCUUUCUCGAGCGAGUGGCGAACGGGUGAGUAACGCGUGAGGAACCUGCCUCAAAGAGGGGGACAACAGUUGGAAACGACUGCUAAUACCGCAUAAGCCCACGACCCGGCAUCGGGUAGAGGGAAAAGGAGCAAUCCGCUUUGAGAUGGCCUCGCGUCCGAUUAGCUAGUUGGUGAGGUAAUGGCCCACCAAGGCGACGAUCGGUAGCCGGACUGAGAGGUUGAACGGCCACAUUGGGACUGAGACACGGCCCAGACUCCUACGGGAGGCAGCAGUGGGGAAUAUUGCACAAUGGGGGAAACCCUGAUGCAGCGACGCCGCGUGGAGGAAGAAGGUCUUCGGAUUGUAAACUCCUGUUGUUGAGGAAGAUAAUGACGGUACUCAACAAGGAAGUGACGGCUAACUACGUGCCAGCAGCCGCGGUAAAACGUAGGUCACAAGCGUUGUCCGGAAUUACUGGGUGUAAAGGGAGCGCAGGCGGGAAGACAAGUUGGAAGUGAAAUCCAUGGGCUCAACCCAUGAACUGCUUUCAAAACUGUUUUUCUUGAGUAGUGCAGAGGUAGGCGGAAUUCCCGGUGUAGCGGUGGAAUGCGUAGAUAUCGGGAGGAACACCAGUGGCGAAGGCGGCCUACUGGGCACCAACUGACGCUGAGGCUCGAAAGUGUGGGUAGCAAACAGGGAUUAGAUACCCUGGUAGUCCACACUGUAAACGAUGAUUACUAGGUGUUGGAGGAUUGACCCUUUCAGUGCCGCAGUUAACACAAUAAGUAAUCCACCUGGGGAGUACGACCGCAAGGUUGAAACUCAAAGGAAUUGACGGGGGCCCGCACAAGCAGUGGAGUAUGUGGUUUAAUUCGACGCAACGCGAAGAACCUUACCAAGUCUUGACAUCCUGCGACGCACAUAGAAAUAUGUGUUUCCUUCGGGACGCAGAGACAGGUGGUGCAUGGUUGUCGUCAGCCCGUGUCGUGAGAUGUUGGGUUAAGUCCCGCAACGAGCGCAACCCUUAUGGUCAGUUACUACGCAAGAGGACUCUGGCCAGACUGCCGUUGACAAAACGGAGGAAGGCGGGGAUGACGUCAAAUCAUCAUGCCCCUUAUGACUUGGGCUACACACGUGCUACAAUGGCGUAAACAAAGGGAAGCAGCCCUGUGAAGGUGAGCAAAUCCCAAAAAUAACGUCUCAGUUCGGAUUGUAGUCUGCAACUCGACUACAUGAAGCUGGAAUCGCUAGUAAUCGCGAAUCAGAAUGUCGCGGUGAAUACGUUCCCGGGUCUUGCACACACCGCCCGUCA